AACGAACGCUGGCGGCAUGCCUAACAUAUGCAAGUCGAACGAGACCUUCGGGUCUAGUGGCGCACGGGUGCGUAACGCGUGGGAACCUGCCCUUAGGUUCGGAAUAACUCCCCGAAAGGGGUGCUAAUACCGGAUAAUGUCUUCGGACCAAAGAUUUAUCGCCUUUGGAUGGGCCCGCGUUGGAUUAGCUAGUUGGUAGGGUAAAAGCCUACCAAGGCGACGAUCCAUAGCUGGUCUGAGAGGAUGAUCAGCCACACUGGGACUGAGACACGGCCCAGACUCCUACGGGAGGCAGCAGUGGGGAAUAUUGGACAAUGGGCGAAAGCCUGAGCCAGCAAUGCCGCGUGAGUGAUGAAGGCCUUAGGGUUGUAAAGCUCUUUUACCCGGGAUGAUAAUGACAGUACCGGGAGAAUAAGCUCCGGCUAACUCCGUG
rnacentral:rRNA from 1 species